GUGUUUUGAAUAGCUUAAAAUACGACUACAAAAGAAUACAAUUAUAUAAUCAUACUAAUUAUAUUAGGAUGAAGAAUUAUAUAAAGAAUAUACUAAUGAAGAUGAGUUUUAUCAGAUAUAAAGUCACUCCACGUGACAUAUUAUGGCUGACAUGAUUUGCCACAAGGUUUAAGUUUAUGAAUUUUUAAUGAGUAUUUUAAAUAGUACUUCAAAAACUCGUAUAAGAUGAGUCGUUUUUGAAGCUAUUUAAACCACUUGUCGUCGUGUUUUAUCACAUAUAAAACACUCCGCUACGCGUAGUCGUGUUUUCUAUGUGAUAAAACACUCCUACGCGUGCUUUAAAUAGUACAUAUCAUCAUGUUAUUACUCAAAUUACUGUAUCUCAUUUUAUCUUUUUUGCUUUAUCAUGAAAAAUAGCACCCCCCCUCCCCGCAUCCCCAGUAAAUCCAUCUCUGAUCGCAGCACUGGUGAACUACUAGUCCAGCUCAUGGGAACAGCUCCUUAUUCCGUAUUUUAAAAAGGAUAUCCGCCUGCCUUGUCUCUGCGAAAUAGAAGAAAUAAAAAUCAAUUGAAUUUACCUGAAUAUAAAAACUUCAUGUACAUGGGCAAAGGAAGCAUUAUCAUGCCUCGAGUUAGCUGUUAUUUUGCUAUCCACCAGAUCUUAUAGAUUUUGUUGAUUAAUAAAGGGAAAUGGCAAUAUAAAUUUUUAUUUUCUCAUUUGCUUAGUUCUCGAAAUAUUUUCACUUGAAGUAAUGAGAUGUCCGCCAGUAGUAUACCCCGGCCACCCCCCCCCCCCCACAUGGCGCCGGAAGUAAUUAGUAUUCAGGUGGAGUUAGAUAGCACCGGAAGUGACGUCAUAAGGUGCGAGCGUAUGCUCGAGCGGGGUAUGUGCACUGAGCUAUACUAUAUUACUGGAGGAAGUGCUCGGCAAAAAAGUGUCCGCAAAAACAUGGCGGAUUUUCGCGCCAUAUGACGCCAUUUCCAUGACAACUGGUUCCUCCGGCUCAUGAAAUUACCGCUGACCAGGCUCAAUUCUGAGCCCGCUACAAUUUUCACCCCCCCCCCUGGUUUUAUCAAAAAAAUUUUGGCUUUUCGAGGUUUUUGCAGUAAAAUCUCGUUGUUUUUUUACACUUUUUCGACUUUUGACCAUUUGUUAAAAGAUUUAAAAGUCGUACACGCUAUUCUCACCCGCGAAAGACAACAAACCAAUAUGAAAAGCCCGAGAAAUUUAGGCAAAGGCGAUAUUUGAUGGCAGUCGGCAGAGCUCACAGGUAAAUAUUUCACAUACUAUUGAUAUGUUUUUAUUUUUAAUUUUUAAAAGAUAAUGGGAGUAAAUGAUAGAAUACAAUCCAUUAGAUAACAGGCUCUUUGUAUAGUAUAACGUAUUAUUUCCCCCCAUGUGUUCAAAGU